UACGUAGGGCGCAAGCGUUGUCCGGAAUUAUUGGGCGUAAAGAGCUCGUAGGCGGUUUGUCGCGUCUGCUGUGAAAACCCGAGGCUCAACCUCGGGCCUGCAGUGGGUACGGGCAGACUAGAGUGCGGUAGGGGAGAUUGGAAUUCCUGGUGUAGCGGUGGAAUGCGCAGAUAAUCAGGAGGAACACCGGUGGCGAAGGCGGGUCUCUGGGCCGAUACUGACGCUGGAGGAGCGAAAGCGUGGGGAGCGAACAGG
rnacentral:rRNA from 1 species